rnacentral:lncRNA from 1 species
CUUAGGCAGAAGACCAACAAAUCUUGUUUAGUUUUCUAACAUUUAUUUUUGUUGGGUUUUGAGACAGGAGUUCAUAUAGCCCAGGCUGGCUUAGAGCUCUCAGUGCCUACUGAAACUUGGCCCUGAACUACUGAUUCUUCUGCCUCUUCAUAUUACUAGAACCAUAGUGGCUGGCUGGAGUGGCACUAAGCUGGAUAAAAGUCGCCAUGACUUCGCGGAACCAUGUGAUUUACAUGGUGGAACCAUGUAACUACAGGGGUAUGGUGAGUUUCUGACUCAUCCAUCUCUGCCUGCUGGUCCAUCUGAGCUGUGGACUAAGAGUGGACCUCUCCCCUGCCCCAUGGCAAGCACGUGGACUUCAGAAAGGCAAAAGAUGUAGCGCUGUGAUUCAGAAAUGGUGAAAUAAAAUCAACAGGAUCGCCACUGCUGAUGGUGGAU